rnacentral:rRNA from 1 species
UACGGGGGGGGCAAGCGUUGUUCGGAAUUACUGGGCGUAAAGGGCUCGUAGGUGGCCAACUAAGUCAGACGUGAAAUCCCUCGGCUUAACCGGGGAACUGCGUCUGAUACUGGAUGGCUUGAGUUCGGGAGAGGGAUGCGGAAUUCCAGGUGUAGCGGUGAAAUGCGUAGAUAUCUGGAGGAACACCGGUGGCGAAGGCGGCCAUCUGGACCAGCACGUGACGCUGAGGCACGAAAGCGUGGGAGCAAACAGG